UGUAGGAGUGAGCCUGCUCGCGAUGGCGUCGUGUCAGUCGCUAUCUUUGUUGGCUGAUACACCGCUAUCGCGAGCAGGCUCGCUCCCACA
rnacentral:misc_RNA from 1 species